rnacentral:rRNA from 1 species
GACGAACGCUGGCGGCGUGCUUAACACAUGCAAGUCGAACGGACAGACAGAGAGCUUGCUCUCUUGAAGUUAGUGGCGAACGGGUGAGUAACGCGUAAUCAACCUGCCCUUCAGAGGGGGAUAACAACGGGAAACCGUUGCUAAUACCGCGUACGAUUCAUGAACGGCAUCGUUUAUGAAUGAAAGGUGGCCUCUAUGUAUAAGCUAUCGCUGAAGGAGGGGAUUGCGUCUGAUUAGCUAGUUGGAGGGGUAACGGCCCACCAAGGCAAUGAUCAGUGGCCAGUCUGAGAGGAUGAACGGCCACAUUGGGACUGAGAAACGGCCCAAACUCCUACGGGAGGCAGCAGUGGGGAAUCUUCCGCAAUGGACGAAAGUCUGACGGAGCAACGCCGCGUGAGUGAUGAAGGUCUUCGGAUUGUAAAGCUCUGUUAAUCGGGACGAAAGAGUUCUGCGUGAAUAAUGCAGAAAAGUGACGGUACCGGAAUAGAAAGCCACGGCUAACUACGUGCCAGCAGCCGCGGUAA